UUUCCGUAGGUGAACCUGCGGAAGGAUCAUUAUCGAGUUAGGGUCUCUGGCCCGACCUCCAACCCUGUGUCUACUAUACCAUGUUGCUUUGGCGGGCCCGCGUUCGUCGCCGCCGAGGGGUUGACCCCCCUGGGCCAGUGCCCGCCGAUAGCCCCCUCCUAAACUCUUGAUCAACCGUGAAUGUCUGAGUAAAAAGAAAAUCAAGCACAAAACUUUCAACAACGGAUCUCUUGGUUCUG
rnacentral:misc_RNA from 1 species